CCCCUCUCAGGAUGGCAACUGGAGAGUUUCCAGUACUUUACCAGUCUCGACUAUGGGAGGGAGAGUCAAGCAAAGGCAUAUCCAUUCCAUUCCUAGCCUGGGCAGUGCCUAGUGAGUGGAAGGCCAGCUGCUACAAGU